AUCUUUUUGUCGGCCAGUAAAUAUUUCUAGACCAGAAUCAAUCCAAUCUUCUUGGAGUAGGAACUCAGCUCAGCCGUUCAGAUUAAAGAUGGAAACAAGGAUAGCCUCAAGUGUGGCUGUAAGUGAAGUUCUUAAUGUAAACAUUAAUUAUUUGGUUUGGAGUGUCCAAGUGAGAACCUAUUUGAUUGCUCAAGAUAUAUGGGACAUUGUUGAAGCAACCGACAAAUGUCCUAAGCAAGAAGAAUGCCAUGGCUUUACAUGUGAUCCAAAUUUCAUGCCUGUAAUGGAUAUGUCAUGUGAUUAGUCUGAUUACUUCCACCAAAAUUGCUUGGGAAACUUUGGAAUCAAUAUGCAGCAUCCCCAAAAGUGAUUAUUUUGAGGAGGAGGAAGAAAGUUAUGUGGGUUGGAGCAAUCGGAUGAAAACAAUUUUAAUGGAUCAUGAUCUUUGGAACAUUGUUGAAACAACCACCGACCAACUACACAUG